UGGCGGCGAGUGGCGAACGGGUGAGUAAUACAUCGGAACGUGCCCAAUCGUGGGGGAUAACGCAGCGAAAGCUGUGCUAAUACCGCAUACGAUCUACGGAUGAAAGCAGGGGACCGCAAGGCCUUGCGCGAAUGGAGCGGCCGAUGGCAGAUUAGGUAGUUGGUGGGGUAAAGGCUCACCAAGCCUUCGAUCUGUAGCUGGUCUGAGAGGACGACCAGCCACACUGGGACUGAGACACGGCCCAGACUCCUACGGGAGGCAGCAGUGGGGAAUUUUGGACAAUGGGCGCAAGCCUGAUCCAGCAAUGCCGCGUGCAGGAUGAAGGCCUUCGGGUUGUAAACUGCUUUUGUACGGAACGAAAAGGCUCUUUCUAAUAAAGAGGGCUCAUGACGGUACCGUAAGAAUAAGCACCGGCUAACUACGUGCCAGCAGCCGCGGUAAUACGUAGGGUGCGAGCGUUAAUCGGAAUUACUGGGCGUAAAGCGUGCGCAGGCGGUGAUGUAAGACAGUUGUGAAAUCCCCGGGCUCAACCUGGGAACUGCAUCUGUGACUGCAUCGCUGGAGUGCGGCAGAGGGGGAUGGAAUUCCGCGUGUAGCAGUGAAAUGCGUAGAUAUGCGGAGGAACACCGAUGGCGAAGGCAAUCCCCUGGGCCUGCACUGACGCUCAUGCACGAAAGCGUGGGGAGCAAACAGGAUUAGAUACCCUGGUAGUCCACGCCCUAAACGAUGUCAACUGGUUGUUGGGUCUUC
rnacentral:rRNA from 1 species